AUCCGAGGGAUCUGAUGGAUCCGAGGGAUCUGAUGGAUCAGAUCCAUCAGAUCCAUCAGAUCCCUCGGAUCCAUCAGAUCCCUCGGA